rnacentral:rRNA from 1 species
GACGAACGCUGGCGGCGUGCCUAAUACAUGCAAGUUGAGCGCUGAAGGUUGGUACUUGUACCAACUGGAUGAGCAGCGAACGGGUGAGUAACGCGUGGGGAGUCUGCCUUUGAGCGGGGGACAACAUUUGGAAACGAAUGCUAAUACCGCAUAAAAACUUUAAACACAAGUUUUAAGUUUGAAAGAUGCAAUUGCAUCACUCAAAGAUGAUCCCGCGUUGUAUUAGCUAGUUGGUGAGGUAAAGGCUCACCAAGGCGAUGAUACAUAGCCGACCUGAGAGGGUGAUCGGCCACAUUGGGACUGGGACACGGCCCAAACUCCUACGGGAGGCAGCAGUAGGGAAUCUUCGGCAAUGGACGAAAGUCUGACCGAGCAACGCCGCGUGAGUGAAGAAGGUUUUCGGAUCGUAAAACUCUGUUGGUAGAGAAGAACGUUGGUGAGAGUGGAAAGCUCAUCAAGUGACGGUAACUACCCAGAAAGGGACGGCUAACUACGUG